GCGACUCGACAACCGCUCGUCUCUCCACCCCUCUUCUGCUUUUUUUCCUUUCCAGAAUGACCGAUUCCGAUCACUCCGACGCCGCACCUCCUCCCUCCUCUUCCUCCCCCACCGCUACCCAUUCUUUUCCGGUGAUAUGUUCAUCAUGCGCCGCUUGCGACGGCGCCACGGCCUCCUGGUCAUCCCCUCCUCCGUGGUCCGAGUCCUCCCCUCCCCCGGCCUACCGCCCCAUCCGCGCCCCCGCCAUCAACGCCCCCAUGGCUACGGCUUCCAUCGUCCUCGCCCCCGUCCCCCUUCCUCUUCCUGUCCCCCCUGCCGAUCCCCCCUAUCAUUUUGAGGUCCCGUGCAAACGCAUCUCCUCUCCUGACGACAUCCGCCGCUUCCACUCAUCCACCUCUGGCCGUCACUUCCUUGGCUUCAUUGCUUCUCUCUCCCACUCCGUCCGCGGCCGCAAAAUCUCCGAUCCUGUCCCUUCCCCGCUCUCCGCCACCCUCUCUGGCAUCCUCUCCCUUCUUCAAACCCUCGCCCGAUGGAUCGACGAGAUCCCCCCUCUCCCCCACUCCUCCCGCUACGGAAAUCCAGCCUACCGGACUUGGCACGCCCGCCUCACUGACGAGGGCCACGGUCUCGUUCUCGCCCUCCUUCCCGAGUCCGACGAGUUCCGUCCCGCCGCGGACGAGCUCCUUCCGUACUUUCUUGAUUCCUUCGGCAACGCCUACCGAAUCGACUACGGCACUGGCCAUGAGACCAACUUCGCCGCCUUCCUCUACUGCCUCGCCCGUCUCGAGCUCAUCAAAGAGGAGGAGUAUCCGGCUCUAGUCCUCCUUGUCUUCUCCACCUACCUUGAUCUUAUGCGGAGACUCCAGAUCACCUACAGCCUCGAACCAGCUGGAUCGCAUGGCGUGUGGGGGCUCGAUGACUACCACUUCCUCCCUUUUAUAUUUGGAUCCGCCCAGCUGAUCGAUCACAAGUACAUGAAGCCGAAAUCAAUUCAUAACCAGGACAUUCUUGACAAUUUCUCAAAUGAUUACAUGUACUUGGCGUGUGUGGCGUUUGUGAAAAAGGUGAAGAAGGGGGUAUUUGCAGAGCAUUCGCCCAUGCUCGAUGAUAUCAGUGGUGUUCCUACAUGGAGCAAGGUGAACAGUGGGAUGUUGAAGAUGUACAAGGCCGAGGUACUCGAAAAAGUCCCCAUCAUGCAGCAUUUUCUCUUUGGAUCUCUCAUCAAAUGGGAGUGAAGUUCUCUUCAUCGAGCUGUCCUGUUGACUUACCUUCAAAAUGCUAUCGAGAUUCAGCGUUAUUGAAUCAACACUACUCUGCAAAGUCAUUAUGGUUUGUAAAAAAAAUAUCAGUCCCUAGAUUUGCUGCAAAACUAUUCCAUAGCACGCUCUGUUUAUCUUGCUCUAAAUUUGUUGUUGCUGCCGGGCAAAUUUCUCAGCCAAGAACCAUUAAAUUCUUCUAGCCAUUUCAAAGAACAAUUUGUAGAAUGCUGUGAGUAUGCUAUUGCUUGAGAGGUGGUAUUUUUGCUGGUGUUGCUGCUGUCCUUAUUUGAAUUCUGUCUGCACCCUUGUUCAGUCUCUAAUGUUGGGGUUUAUGGAGAACGGAUGAAAGUAGCAUUCAUUUUGUCAUCAAGCAAUUGGCUGUUAGAGCUAGAAACAAACAGAACAAGUGGGGAUGCGAUUGAAAACUUUACAAAUCGAUAUAGAGCACUUAUUUCGUUCGA